ACUCCUACGGGAGGCAGCAGUGGGGAAUAUUGCACAAUGGGCGCAAGCCUGAUGCAGCCAUGCCGCGUGUAUAAGAAGGCCUUCGGGUUGUAAAGUACUUUCAGCAGUGAGGAAGGCGGUACGUUAUAGUACGUGCUCGUUUGACGUUUAGCUGCAGAAGAAGACACCGGCUAACUCCGUGCCAGCAGCCGCGGUAAUACGGAGGGUGCGAGCGUUAAUCGGAAUUACUGGGCGUAAAGCGCAUGCAGGUGGUUUGUUAAGUCAGAUGUG
rnacentral:rRNA from 1 species